rnacentral:lncRNA from 1 species
GCAGUGACCACACCUGGCAGAAGCACAAGUCAGAAUCAGAUUACAAGGAACCAACAUCAAAACACAAGAGAGAGGCAUACGUGGGUGUUGGAUAUAAUCAAAGCAAUUACUGAGCAUAAGAGAACAUAAUCGUAUAAGAAAUUGUUUACCAAGGUGCAUAAAACUCAACCAAGACAUCUUUAGAAUCAUCCAAGACGACUUCAU